rnacentral:lncRNA from 1 species
AUGAAGUUUAUUGGACGCUGUAGGAAAACUAAGCUGGCUUUGAACUCGCCAAAACCUCCUGUCUCAGCCUCUCCAGCUGCAAGGAUUACAGAGGGCCCUAACCAGAAACUGACCAUGUUGAUCCUAGGCUUCCCAGCCUCCAGAACUGUGAGACAAAUUAAUUGAAAAGAUUUACUCUAUGACUAUAAGAGCCUUGGGAGAUAGAUAAAGAUGAAUGCUGUGUGUCAUGUAAUACUGAAGCUUUGAAGUUGGAAGACAUUUGCUAAAUCAAAUCACUCAAGAAAGUUACCAUUCAAGUCAAACUCACCAUAAUGCAGAAUCCUCUAUCAGUACCACCCAAAGAUCAAGCCCCGCCAUCGCCCCGCCUCGCCGCGCUCCAAC